rnacentral:misc_RNA from 1 species
AAUUCUCAAAACCCUUUCUUUUGGUCGGUUUUGACCAUGGGAAGGAUUUUGGACUUGGAGGCCUUUUGCUGGUUUCACCUUGAAGCGAGCUCCUCCCAAAUGUAUUAGUGGGGUCUGCAUCGUCGGUCCUUGGCGUGAUAAGUCGUUUCUACGUCUUGGAUUUUUGGCGCUGUACACCUGCUUCUAACCGUCUCAUUGACAAAGAUGGUGUUCCGGUCGCCGCCGAUUUUUCGGUGGGGGGCUUGACCCACGAAACAAA